rnacentral:rRNA from 1 species
UGGGGAAUUUUGGACAAUGGGGGCAACCCUGAUCCAGCCAUGCCGCGUGCGGGAAGAAGGCCUUCGGGUUGUAAACCGCUUUUGGUCGGGAAGAAAGGGCGCAGGCUAAUACCUUGCGCUGUUGACGGUACCGGCAGAAUAAGCACCGGCUAACUACGUGCCAGCAGCCGCGGUAAUACGUAGGGUGCGAGCGUUAAUCGGAAUUACUGGGCGUAAAGCGUGCGCAGGCGGUUCGUUGUGUCUGAUGUGAAAGCCCCGGGCUCAACCUGGGAAUGGCAUUGGAAACUGGCGAGCUAGAGUGUGGCAGAGGGGGGUGGAAUUCCGCGUGUAGCAGUGAAAUGCGUAGAGAUGCGGAGGAACACCGAUGGCGAAGGCAGCCCCCUGGGCUGACACUGACGCUCAGGCACGAAAGCGUGGGGAGCAAACAG